rnacentral:rRNA from 1 species
GAUGAACGCUGGCGGCAUGCCUAAUACAUGCAAGUCGAACGAGAGGAAGGAAAGCUUGCUUUUCUGAAUCUAGUGGCGAACGGGUGAGUAACACGUAGGUAACCUGCCCAUGUGCCCGGGAUAACUUCUGGAAACGGAUGCUAAAACCGGAUAGGUAGCAGACAAGCAUUUGACUGCUAUUAAAGUGGCUUUGGCCAUGAACAUGGAUGGACCUGCGGUGCAUUAGCUAGUUGGUGAGGUAACGGCCCACCAAGGCGACGAUGCAUAGCCGGCCUGAGAGGGCGGACGGCCACAUUGGGACUGAGACACGGCCCAAACUCCUACGGGAGGCAGCAGUAGGGAAUUUUCGUCAAUGGGGGGAACCCUGAACGAGCAAUGCCGCGUGAGUGAGGAAGGUCUUCGGAUCGUAAAGCUCUGUUGUAAGAGAAAAAUGGCACUCAUAGGGAAUGAUGAGUGAGUGAUGGUAUCUUACCAGAAAGUC